GUGUUACAGUGUGUUUCAGUGUGUUACAGUGUGUUUCAGUGUGUUAGUGUGUUUCAGUGUGUUUCAGUGUGUUAGUGUGUUUCAGUUGUGUACAGUGUGUUUCAGUGUGUUUCAGUGUGUUUCAGUGUGUUAGUGUGUUUCAGUGUGUUACAGUGUGUUACAGUGUGUUACAGUGUGUUAGUGUGUUACAGUGUGUUACAAUGUGUUACAGUGUGUUACAGUGUGUUACAGUGUGUUUCAGUGUGUUACAGUGUGUUACAGUGUGUUAGUGUGUUUCAGUGUGUUACAGUGUGUUACAGUGUGUUACAGUGUGUUAGUGUGUUUCAGUGUGUUUCAGUGUGUUA
ensembl:lncRNA